rnacentral:rRNA from 1 species
GUGCCAGCAGCCGCGGUAAUACGUAGGGUGCGAGCGUUAAUCGGAAUUACUGGGCGUAAAGCGUGCGCAGGCGGUUAUAUAAGACAGUUGCGAAAUCCCCGGGCUUAACCUGGGAAUGGCGCUUGUGACUGCACGACUGGAGUGCGGCAGAGGGGGAUGGAAUUCCGCGUGUAGCAGUGAAAUGCGUAGAUAUGCGGAGGAACACCGAUGGCGAAGGCAGUCCCCUGGGCCUGCACUGACGCUCAUGCACGAAAGCGUGGGGAGCAAACAGGAUUAGAU